GGAAAUCUCACCAGGCCCGGACACUGGAAGGAUUGACAGAUUGAGAGCUCUUUCUCGAUUCGGUGGGCGGUGGUGCAUGGCCGUUCUUAGUUGGUGGAGUGAUUUGUCUGGUUAAUUCCGAUAACGAACGAGACUCUGUCCUGCUAAAUAGUGUCAGCCUCUCUUUUGGGCUGACAAUUCUUCUUAGAGGGACUGGCGGCACCUAGCCGCACGAAAUAGAGCAAUAA
rnacentral:rRNA from 1 species